rnacentral:rRNA from 1 species
AUGAGCUCUCCUCCUCCACCAUCUCUUCCCGAGGCUUGUUCUAUUACCAAGGCAGUUGCUCCUGAUCUCUCCCUGCACAUCAGCCCUCCGUCGCCGGGCACGGCGGUGGGCGACAACGGCGAGGUGCGGCUAUGGCUACAUGAGGCCGCGGCAAAGAGGCACCGUGGCCUGGAGGAGAUGCUGCACCAGCCGAACAAGGCCCAUGCGUUCAAGAAGAGCUCGUGUCCUGCCGUUGGCGGCGGCGCUGUGGCAAGGCCGGCAGCUGGUGGCCGGAAGAGGAGCUCGAGGGCUCCUAGGAUGCGGUGGACCACAACGCUGCACGCACACUUUGUGCGUGCCGUGGAGCUCCUUGGUGGCCAUGAGAGAGCAACACCAAAGUCAGUAUUGGAACUGAUGAACGUGAAGGAUCUUACACUCGCUCAUGUUAAGAGCCACCUGCAGAUGUAUAGAACAGUGAAGAGCACAGACAGAUCAUGCGUUGCAGGCCAUGGCCAGACCAGAGAUAUGGGCUUUCUGAGAAGGGUUGUCGCUGGUGAUGAACUGAUCAAUGGCUUUGAUGGGUUCAACAGCAACAUGGUCAACACCACUUCCAAUAAUACAACUCCUAGGGGGUCAGAGUCACCAGCUGGAGAGCAGGGCCAUCACGAUGCUUGGGGGACACAAACGGCAGCAGCAACAACAACAAUGGUGCCACCUUACCUGACGACCUCCGAGUCUCAUGAUAAUGAACACAUCAUGCCGGAGAACGGAAUGGCACGGCCAGCAGGCCCACGCCGUGGAAGGUCGUCACCGAACAACACCAGCAGCAGCGGCAGCGACGAUGUCGACGAGAGCGAGAGCUUCGGAUGGUUGGCGUUGACGCGGCGGUGCAGCGAUGAGGACGGCGAUGGGGACUGUGCAGGCGACCGUGUGCUGCAAGACGCGGCCAUGGUUAUGGCUCCGAGCCUGGAGAUGAGGCUGGGGAGGCAGGGGUGGGAGCAGAUGGAGCCAUCGGCAUCGGCCUCCAAAGAGCUAACCCCGAUCCUCAAGUGCUUGUGA